UGCCGAUGAUGAGAAAAAGGGUUUAAUUGUGAUUGCUGAUAUUCCGUGAUUACAUGUACUCCUCUACUGCCUUCCUUCUGAGGCU